GGGACACGUGGUAUCCUGUCUGAAUAUGGGGGGACCAUCCUCCAAGGCUAAAUACUCCUGACUGACCGAUAGUGAACCAGUACCGUGAGGGAAAGGCGAAAAGAACCCCGGCGAGGGGAGUGAAAAAGAACCUGAAACCGUGUACGUACAAGCAGUGGGAGCACGCUUAGGCGUGUGACUGCGUACCUUUUGUAUAAUGGGUCAGCGACUUAUAUUCUGUAGCAAGGUUAACCGAAUAGGGGAGCCGAAGGGAAACCGAGUCUUAACUGGGCGUUAAGUUGCAGGGUAUAGACCCGAAACCCGGUGAUCUAGCCAUGGGCAGGUUGAAGGUUGGGUAACACUAACUGGAGGACCGAACCGACUAAUGUUGAAAAAUUAGCGGAUGACUUGUGGCUGGGGGUGAAAGGCCAAUCAAACCGGGAGAUAGCUGGUUCUCCCCGAAAGCUAUUUAGGUAGCGCCUCGUGAAUUCAUCUCCGGGGGUAGAGCACUGUUUCGGCAAGGGGGUCAUCCCGACUUACCAACCCGAUGCAAACUGCGAAUACCGGAGAAUGUUAUCACGGGAGACACACGGCGGGUGCUAACGUCCGUCGUGAAGAGGGAAACAACCCAGACCGCCAGCUAAGGUCCCAAAGUCAUGGUUAAGUGGGAAACGAUGUGGGAAGGCCCAGACAGCCAGGAUGUUGGCUUAGAAGCAGCCAUCAUUUAAAGAAAGCGUAAUAGCUCACUGGUCGAGUCGGCCUGCGCGGAAGAUGUAACGGGGCUAAACCAUGCACCGAAGCUGCGGCAGCGACACUGUGUGUUGUUGGGUAGGGGAGCGUUCUGUAAGCCUGCGAAGGUGUGCUGUGAGGCAUGCUGGAGGUAUCAGAAGUGCGAAUGCUGACAUAAGUAACGAUAAAGCGGGUGAAAAGCCCGCUCGCCGGAAGACCAAGGGUUCCUGUCCAACGUUAAUCGGGGCAGGGUGAGUCGACCCCUAAGGCGAGGCCGAAAGGCGUAGUCGAUGGGAAACAGGUUAAUAUUCCUGUACUUGGUGUUACUGCGAAGGGGGGACGGAGAAGGCUAUGUUGGCCGGGCGACGGUUGUCCCGGUUUAAGCGUGUAGGCUGGUUUUCCAGGCAAAUCCGGAAAAUCAAGGCUGAGGCGUGAUGACGAGGCACUACGGUGCUGAAGCAACAAAUGCCCUGCUUCCAGGAAAAGCCUCUAAGCAUCAGGUAACAUCAAAUCGUACCCCAAACCGACACAGGUGGUCAGGUAGAGAAUACCAAGGCGCUUGAGAGAACUCGGGUGAAGGAACUAGGCAAAAUGGUGCCGUAACUUCGGGAGAAGGCACGCUGAUAUGUAGGUGAAGUCCCUCGCGGAUGGAGCUGAAAUCAGUCGAAGAUACCAGCUGGCUGCAACUGUUUAUUAAAAACACAGCACUGUGCAAACACGAAAGUGGACGUAUACGGUGUGACGCCUGCCCGGUGCCGGAAGGUUAAUUGAUGGGGUCAGCGCAAGCGAAGCUCUUGAUCGAAGCCCCGGUAAACGGCGGCCGUAACUAUAACGGUCCUAAGGUAGCGAAAUUCCUUGUCGGGUAAGUUCCGACCUGCACGAAUGGCGUAAUGAUGGCCAGGCUGUCUCCACCCGAGACUCAGUGAAAUUGAACUCGCUGUGAAGAUGCAGUGUACCCGCGGCAAGACGGAAAGACCCCGUGAACCUUUACUAUAGCUUGACACUGAACAUUGAGCCUUGAUGUGUAGGAUAGGUGGGAGGCUUUGAAGUGUGGACGCCAGUCUGCAUGGAGCCGACCUUGAAAUACCACCCUUUAAUGUUUGAUGUUCUAACGUGGACCCGUAAUCCGGGUUGCGGACAGUGUCUGGUGGGUAGUUUGACUGGGGCGGUCUCCUCCUAAAGAGUAACGGAGGAGCACGAAGGUUGGCUAAUCCUGGUCGGACAUCAGGAGGUUAGUGCAAUGGCAUAAGCCAGCUUGACUGCGAGCGUGACGGCGCGAGCAGGUGCGAAAGCAGGUCAUAGUGAUCCGGUGGUUCUGAAUGGAAGGGCCAUCGCUCAACGGAUAAAAGGUACUCCGGGGAUAACAGGCUGAUACCGCCCAAGAGUUCAUAUCGACGGCGGUGUUUGGCACCUCGAUGUCGGCUCAUCACAUCCUGGGGCUGAAGUAGGUCCCAAGGGUAUGGCUGUUCGCCAUUUAAAGUGGUACGCGAGCUGGGUUUAGAACGUCGUGAGACAGUUCGGUCCCUAUCUGCCGUGGGCGCUGGAGAACUGAGGGGGGCUGCUCCUAGUACGAGAGGACCGGAGUGGACGCAUCACUGGUGUUCGGGUUGUCAUGCCAAUGGCACUGCCCGGUAGCUAAAUGCGGAAGAGAUAAGUGCUGAAAGCAUCUAAGCACGAAACUUGCCCCGAGAUGAGUUCUCCCUGACUCCUUGAGAGUCCUGAAGGAACGUUGAAGACGACGACGUUGAUAGGCCGGGUGUGUAAGCGCAGCGAUGCGUUGAGCUAACCGGUACUAAUGAACCGUGAGGCUUAACCUUACAACGCCGAAGGUGUUU
rnacentral:rRNA from 1 species